GGGUGGGUAGCUCAGUUGGUCAGAGCGCCAGGUUGUGGCCCUGGAUGUCGCGGGUUCGAAUCCCGUCCCUCCCA
rnacentral:tRNA from 1 species